CUCACCUUGCCCUACCAUGACUGCCAGACACCCUUUUGGGAUAUCUUUCAACUGCUUCUUGCCAUGAUGAUCAUGGUGGUGGUGGUGGUGAUGAUGGUGGUGGUGGUGAUGGUGAUUUGGCAAGUGAAUAUGGAAACUCAAAUGAUUUUUAUCUCCACUCCCCAUUGUACGCUUAAACACCACAAAAAAUCAAAGAAACAACAAAGAAGAUCACCCUGAAAGCCUAAAGAUGGGUGCAAAUUCUUAUAUAGUAUAGGUUAUAAGAAAACAAGAGAGAAAGGCCAAGGAUCAGCUGCAGAAAUGGCAAGCUUGAAAAGGGUGAAAGAAGAGUCUGCAAGAGAUCUUGGUAUAUUGCUCAUGAUAUAUGAAAAUCAAACAAAAACAACAUAAGCACAAGAAAGAAAGAUCGAGGGUUAUUUUUUUCUAGGAAGAAGAGUGGUUUACAUAUAUAUAGUGGGGGAGGGAGGUAGUAGAUAUGGUUCUAGCUUGCUAGGAUAUGCUUCGGUUAUACUCGUAGAGGUUGUUCUAGAGACAGAAACAGCCAGAGACGCCAAGAGUUCACAUCUUAGGUAGGUUUCUAUAUAUUUUUUUAAUAACUUUCCGUCUAAGAUAAGAGAAUGUAAAUACAAAAUUGAUCAUCUUAUUUACAGCUGGAAUUAAAACACGCUAUUUACAGGAUAAAGCUUGGUGGAAAUUAACAUUUGACUUUUCAAAUAAGCGAAAGGUCAAAUAUUAAGAGAAAAAUAAAUAAACACUAUUCGUCUCUAGGAUUAGUGCGAUAAAAAGGUGAAAAAAUAGGGCAUACGCUGCUCUGAUUUUGCCAAAUGUGAAGAUUGCGAGUGCUGUGAUGGAUCCUGAAAUAGCUUGAUAUUCAUUAUUGUGUGAAUGACAACCUCGCAGACUUUUCCAAUCAGAAAGGGAUAUUAUUAUAUUAAAAAAAUAAAAAUUCUAGGUGCAUAAUUACCAGGUAAUUUUUUAUUUUAUUUUAUUUUAUUUAAAGGGGUGCUUGACUUUCUCAUCAACAUGACUAAAAUAAAUUCUAAGCAUUUGGGUUUCAUGUAAAAUAUCAAUUCUAAGAAUACUAUAUUUCAGUUGACAGAUGCUGCAAAUUUUGGAUAAGAUUUGAAUUUUAUUUUUUUUAUUUUAACCAAGAGGGUGUCUGCCACCCUGACAAGCAUGACGUCCAUCUACAGACAAUUAUAAGUUAUUUUAUUAAUAUUUUCUAAUAUUAUUUGGAUUUGGAUUUUCUAAUUAAUAUUACGAUUUUGUAGGAUUAAUUAAUAUUGGUAAUUUAUUGUGAGAUUCGUGUGUUUUGAUUGCCGAAAUUAUGACGAGGUAUUUCCUUUAAUUACUAAUUAAGGUAAUACAUUAAUUAAUAUCUUAUUCUUUCUCCCUUUCUGGGUCAUAUUAAUAUUCAUAUUUUUUAAGCUAAUAUUUAGCUAAUAAAUCAAGCCAAAACCAAUAUAUUCACAAUCCAGUAAUAUUGGAGGUAGGAGGAGAGAAUAAACUGCUCAUAGCAAUUACACCAAGAAAAGAGGAUAACGAUGAGAGGUGAAACGACGUGGGACCCGUGAACGGCCAUGUAGACGUCAGCAAGAAGGGAGCAACCAAUAGCAAGCGUGAACUCGUCAAACCUGACAUCACAAAAUCUGACAAGUUCAUUAAUUAGUCACUAAUUACUAAUUACCUUGUUUUUAACGUGUGAUCUUGGAACAGUUACAAAAUUGCAGACAAACACGCUUAAGGCAGCCAAAUCAGGGGUUGUGGGUGUAUUACCAAUUCUACCCUUUAUUUAUUUAUUAUUAUUAUUUCUUUAAUGGAUGACACCUACAUGGGAGCUCCUUGGUCAAGGUCUAGCCGGAUGUUGCGGCUGAUUUCAUUGCAAUUUUUUUUGUGAUGCAAAGGUGUGUGAUCAUAUAUAUAUUAUUGAGGUUCGAUCGAAUAUGUAUAUGAUUAUUUAUUAUUCAAUUAUUAUUUAAUAUUCAUAAAAAAUAAUAUAUAUAUAUACACACACAUUAAAUUAAAAAAAUAAAUACUAUAUAUAUAAAAAAAUUGAGAAAUAUAAAUGUGAAUUUAACUGCAAACAUAUAUAUAUAUAUAUAUAUAUAUAUAUAUAUAUAUAUAUAUAUAUAUAUGUGGUUAGCAUAGAAAUUCCAUGACAGUUCACCUUUUCAGCAUGAUAGUGGAUUCGGGAGAAUGGGAAAGAAAACAAAGGGUUGCGGGUUUUGGCCCACCCAUAAGUUGGGAAAGGCUAAAGAAAUACAUGAUCAUUUCAAUUAGGUCCUUCUUCAUUGAUUUUCUAUAAUUUUGCAGCUUUAUUCUUCGCACCUGCUUUAAACUUUUCAAAUCAAAGAUUUGCCCCCAAAUUAAUGGACGGGGAAGAUAACCAACAUAUAUAGUGGCCAAUCAAAAUCCAUUAUAAAAGGUAUAGGAUAAAGAUAAUUCCAUUAUAAAAGGUAUAGGAUAAUUAGGUUUUAGGUCUUUAUCAAAUUAAAGGGAUAGAUAACUAUAGACAUUAAUUUCACCAUAAUUAUACGAAGACAAAACAUCAUGCUUUGUGUUGGUAAUUCAAGAUAUUGACAUGAAAUUAAUUUGAUUUCCAUUUUCCACUAUAUAUAUAUAUUAUUAGCUCAAACAAUUUUGAAUAUAUAAUAAAAAAUAUAUCUUUUUUUUCUUGGUAAUAAAAAAUUUUAUUUUUAAAAUUUUAUUUUUUACAUAAAAAAUGAGUGUUAUUAGAUUAACUUAUACCUUAAUCUAUAUCAAUACUUACUCCUUGUAUAGCUUAAGAGCUUGUUUAGUUAUUGUUUUUUAAAGUGUUUUUCGCUUAGAAAUAUAUACAAAUAAUAUAUAUUUUUAAAAAAAUUAUUUUAACAUCAAUACAUUAAAACGAUCUAAAAAAAAAAUUAAUUUGAUGAAUUUUUUUUAAUUUUUUAAAAAACACUAUUAAAAUUAAUGUAAAAACAAACAAGGCAUAUAUUUAGUUGAUUAGUCAUUAAAUAAUCUUAAAUAAAUUGAUUGAAAUAUCCAAAUACAAUAAAGUUCUCCACCUCCUGAUGUUUGGCCUACCCAACCACUCUUUCUGCCACGCACAAAGAAGGGGACGUGCCACUAGCAACAUUUCCCUGUGGGUCACACCAUAAUCAAUUUCCUAGCUGCGUGGUUCACAUCACCUAUUCACAAGUAGUAAUGGGUCUAGAAAUGCGAUAAAAAACAACUAAGGGUCUAGAAGUUCAAAUUGUUAGAAAAUCUUGUAAAGCUAGAACCGGUGAAUUCUAAAAUAUGCAAGAAUUCAAGGGUCAAGCAUGCAAUAUGCCAUUUGCAUAAAGAAAGGGAGCGUCAAGAGAAGAAGGAGAAAAUUACAAGACAAGGCACUCCAAAAGGUGUGGAUGGAAGAGUGGACUUUUUUGCUUUGUGGCAAAGAGAUUGUGAAAUGGAGCUUGAUUUAGGGCUUUUUUCCUUUUCUUUUCCCCCAAGCAAGGUGCUUGUGUUCUUUCUUUGUUGCCUCUAUUGUUCAUAAAGGUAUUAUUUAAUUACUUCUCAUAUUUUUCUUCUCAGAGCUUAGCUAAUCUUUAUUAUUUCUAUUGUCUUAAUGGUGUUAAAAAAUUUAGCUUGGUUUGACGGAUCAACUUAGUGACUUGCCAAAUUAGAAUAUGAUCUAAAUCGAGAUUCAAAUUAAAUCAUGUAGAAAUCGAUAUAGCCGAACCUGACUAACCCGAUAAAUCAACCCGUUAUCUAAUCAAAUCAAUCAAAACUCAUUUUUUUCAAAAUAAUACCAUUUUUAAUUAAUUAAAAUAAAUAUUUUAGUUUUGAAUUAAUCUAGAACAACCGAGGUCAUGCCAACUCUAGCCUUGGGACAAGUCAUGGACGAGACCGUCUUUGAUAACUUCGAUCAUGGUUAAGGAGACUAAAGUUUAAACUUAAAUAUUCCAUGUUUUUAGAUUUUUCAUCCCUUUCGAAUGUAUAAAAGGGACGGGGUCAAAGCAAGAGCUAUGCUGACUAUAGACUCGGCCUACCAGGCCGUCUGUCUUGCAUUAAUUUUGGAAUUUACCGCAACUAUCGAAGACAUCUACUCCACACAUUUCCUUAUUUUCAUGUCUAAACAACAACAACAAAAAAGUCAACCCAGAUUUACGUUUCAGAAUUUUUAAUCAGAAAUCCCAAAGAAGAAAAUAAUUUCAUCUAAGAAGGUCAAUGCUUAUCAACCAAUCAAUUGACAUGUGCAUAUUUUCCUGAGAGAAACUGAUAGAAUAUUCAUUAAACAAUUAGCAGCUAAACUGCUAGCUAGCAGGCAUGUAGAAGUUCCGGCCGGGAAGGAGGCAGGUGACCCUUACCAUGCCAUUAUCUCUUCUAUGAUUUGUUGAAGGAGGCAGGUGACCUUUUUUAUUAUAUGUAUAUAUUUGUCAAGUAACCACUAAGUAUUUACAUCAUUUGAAGAGCUUGACUAUGGAAUCUCAUUCUUUGAACACCAUUUUUGAAUAACACCUUCCUCAUGCAAAUCACCAAAAAAAAAAAAAAAAAAAAACUGGGGAAAGAGGUCUAGUGUUUACCGAGCCAACUUGAUAAACUUAUGCACUUCAACUAACCAUUUGGGCUGGGCAUUUAAAGCCUUGGGAUCUCUAGCAUGUCCACUAAUAAAAAAGGGCCAGCUAGCUAGACAUCAAAGUCAUGAAGAAGUUUAUCCUCUAAUGAAAAGGUACACUAAUCCGAAUUGGAUUCAGUAUUUUCAAUUUAUUAGCCAAGAAACAAUCAUAAUUUAAGCUGUCAAGUCAAGACAAGACAAGAAACAAAUCUCCAAUGGAGGAACACGGUUUUCCUCGUCCAAUUGUUGUUAGACAACCAUUAUAUUUCAAGGCCUAUAGUCAAGAACAAGGUUUUUCGACUGUUCUUGAACUCAUGAGACAAUACUGUUCUCAAAGUUAUCUUUUUACCCACUAGAAUCUCUCGAAGUUAAUUAACACAAAUGCUCAUCUUGCAUCCAGUAUAAAUUAGUUGCAAAUUAAGUUGAUUUUGCAACUUAAAUGUCUCCAAUUGCAACUGGAUUUGUUGUAGCUAAUUCAAUUUUUUUCUUCGGUGAGAUAAUUCUCCAAACCAUCAAAGUCGUAUACCGUAGACAUGGUAUACUUGUAUAUACAAAAUCUGCUCUGUAUUUACAUGAUAAAGGCAACAACAAGCUCACUAUAUAGCACAUGAAUGUCAGAGUCAGGAACAUAUUAUCAAGAAGAAAAAACUCAUCAGAUUGAGGCAUUGCACAACUUGUGAGAAAAUGGCCUGCUUUGCAAAUCUAAUUAGGGGUCUGAACAAUAUACCAAACAACAGAAAGGACCUAAUCUUGAUUGGCAUAACUUGGUCCCGUGCCAUGUUGCGCAUUGGCAUGCAUAUUUUGGUCGACUUGAAAGCCCUUCAUGCACCAACAGAGUGACUACUUCGGUCCCGAUCAAUAUCAACUUUGUAUUAUUACACUCAGAUACCUCUGGCCAGCUUCCUGCUUCUGUGGAAACAGGGAAGUGGUUCCUCCGGCAGCCAACGAAUCAAUGAUAGGUCUAAUUAUCAUUAUGCCCUCUCCAACGGCGGCAAUAGCUAAUGUUGUGAAAAAAACAAGGAAAGAAAAUGCGCCGUAUAUGGUCUCCUCAGGUCUCCAAAAAGCUGACAAUACAAGAAACAAGAUCUCUAAUGGCAACAUUACCAUCACCACAAAAGCUAGGCUAUAUAUUCUAGCUCUUAACCCUUUGUUGAUUGCGAGGGUGACCACCUUGAAACAUGACAAGAAGAAGAACAAAGUGUACCAAACCCCAAAAGCACCAAAUAUGAUGCAACUUAUUAGAGGGUACGUGCACAUCACAAUUUCCACCCCAAAAUUAUUCUUGAAAACAACUGAACUUCGAUGAAAAAUAGAUGGCAUCUUUACCAUCGAAGUGAACACAAACACAAAUUGUAUAGUGAGGAUGGGAAUACAUGCAGACCAAAGAAAGGCAUGAACCCAAGUACCCCGUGGGGUUUUUCUCUUGAUGGAUAUGUUCAUAAGAAAAAGGAGGAUCACCAGGAAACCAGGUUCUAAUAACCCUAAUGAGAGAACAACAUGGACUUUGCAAAGACUUUCUUGUUGUGAUAGGGUUAAAGAAGGAAAAAAAGGGUAGAGAUGUUGUUUACGAAAUAAGGGUAAGCGAAAAAACUCGUUAAGACCCCAAAGUGUGAUGAUAAAGACAAGGAGGAAUCGGACGGACCAAAGGGAGUUGAAGCUUUGUAAAUGAUGGGAAUUUUGUGAUUUGAAUAGGAGAUGAAAUACAAAGCAAAGAGAGAAGAGGGAAAGGAGGAAGAGGGCAAUGAUGGAGUAGAGAAUCGCCAAGUCGAAGGUGGUGUUAUAGGAUGGAUCAUAGAUAGAAGAAAUGUUCAACAUGGCACAACCUAACAAUUAAUGAAUUGCUAUAAUAGAUGGUGUUGGUGAUGAUAUUGAUAAUGGUAAUGAUCGAUUACAUUGUUAGGUAAAGGUGGUGAUGGUUUAAGAGAAAUUUGGAUUGGAAAAUGCAUAGAAAUUAAAGAUUUGAAGAAGAACAAGUACUGUUACAUAUGGUGGUCGGAAGGGGAAAGGGGAGGUUAAAGAAUAGAUGGUAGUUUUCUCUCCCCCAAUUCCCA
rnacentral:lncRNA from 1 species